CCACGGGAGGCUGCAGUGGGGAAUCUUGGACAAUGGGCGAAAGCCUGAUCCAGCCAUGCCGCGUGUGUGAAGAAGGCCUUCGGGUUGUAAAGCACUUUCAGUGGGGAAGAAAGCCUUGGGGCUAAUACCCUCGAGGAAGGACAUCACCCACAGAAGAAGCACCGGCUAACUCCGUGCCAGCAGCCGCGGUAAUACGGAGGGUGCGAGCGUUAAUCGGAAUUACUGGGCGUAAAGCGCGCGUAGGCGGUCUGAUAAGCCGGUUGUGAAAGCCCCGGGCUCAACCUGGGAACGGCAUCCGGAACUGUCAGGCUAGAGUGCAGGAGAGGAAGGUAGAAUUCCCGGUGUGGCGGUGAAAUACGUAGAGAUCGGGAGGAAUACCAGUGGCGAAGGCGGCCUUCUGGACUGACACUGACGCUGAGGUGCGAAAGCGUGGGUAGCAAACAGGAUUAGAUACCCCAGUAGUC
rnacentral:rRNA from 1 species